rnacentral:rRNA from 1 species
AGGUUGGCUCAGAAGCAGCCAUCCUUUAAAGAGUGCGUAACAGCUCACUAGUCGAAUGACUCUGCGCCGAUAAUUUACCGGGGCUAAGCAUACUACCGAAGCUAUGGAUCCCAAGGGAUGGUAGGGGAGCGUUCCAUGAACGGAGAAGUACGACCGAAAGGACGUGUGGAGAUCAUGGAAGAGAGAAUGCCGGUGUGAGUAGCGGAACGUGGGUGAGAAUCCCACGCACCGAAAACCCAAGGUUUCCAGAGGAAGGUUCGUCCGCUCUGGGUAAGUCGGGACCUAAGGCGAGGCCGAAAGGCGUAGUCGAUGGACAACAGGUAGAGAUUCCUGUACCCGUAUAUAUGUGAAGGAAUGACGGAGAGAGGAAGCUGCAGCCAGCGGCUGGAAGAGCUGGUGCAAGCGAGAUAUCGGGAUGGCAGGCAAAUCCACCAUCCGAAACGAGAAGGCGUGAAGCGUACGGAAAGCUACGGCGAGUACGGAAGGCAGUGGAGGAACUUCCAAGAAAAGUUUCUAACGUAAAGUAUAUAUGGCCCGUACCGAAAAUGGACACACAUGGGUGAGGAGAGAAUCCUAAGGUGAGCGAGAGAACUAUAGCUAAGGAACUCUGCAAAAUGACUCCGUAACUUAGGGAGAAGGAGUGCUCAUAGAGAUAUGAGCCGCAGUGAAACGGCCCAAGCGACUGUUUACCAAAAACACAGCUCUCUGCUAAGCCGCAAGGCGAAGUAUAGGGGGUGACGCCUGCCCGGUGCUGGAAGGUUAAGGGGAGGGGUUAACGCAAGUGAAGCCCUGAACUGAAGCCCCAGUAAACGGCGGCCGUAACUAUAACGGUCCUAAGGUAGCGAAAUUCCUUGUCAGGUAAGUUCUGACCCGCACGAAAGGCGUAACGAUUUGGGCGCUGUCUCAGCUGUAGACUCGGUGAAGUCUUAGUACCUGUGAAGAUGCAGGUUACCCGCGACUAGACGGAAAGACCCCAUGGAGCUUCACUGCAGGUUGAUAUUGGGAUUUGAUGCAGCAUGUACAGGAUAGGUAGGAGGCAAAGAGAUGGAUACGCCAGUAUUCAAGGAGCCGCUGUUGGGAUACUACCCCUGUUGUAUUGGAUUUCUAACCGGACGACGUAGAGCCGUUGACGGGACAGUGUCAGUCGGGCAGUUUGACUGGGGCGGUCGCCUCCCAAAGAGUAACGGAGGCGCCCAAAGAUACCCUCAGCUUGGAUGGAAACCAAGCGCAGAGUGCAAAGGCAAAAGGGUGUUUGACUGCGAGACCCACAAGUCGAGCAGGGACGAAAGUCGGGCUUAGUGAUCCGGCGGUGCUGAAUGGAAAGGCCGUCGCUCAACGGAUAAAAGCUACCCUGGGGAUAACAGGCUGAUCUCCCCCA